UACGUAGGGUGCGAGCGUUAAUCGGAAUUACUGGGCGUAAAGCGUGCGCAGGCGGUUUUGUAAGUCAGAUGUGAAAUCCCCGGGCUUAACCUGGGAAUGGCAUUUGGGACUGCAAGGCUUGAGUUUGGCAGAGGAGACUGGAAUUCCUGGUGUAGCAGUGAAAUGCGUAGAUAUCAGGAAGAACACCCGUGGCGAAGGCGGCUCUCUGGGACGGUACUGACGCUGAGACGCGAAAGCGUGGGGAGCGAACAGG
rnacentral:rRNA from 1 species